GAAAGCUGUAUGCCUUUUCUUCUGGACAAUGAAACUGGGCAAAUACGUGGAAUGAAGCCUUUACACAGGACAUCGUCACGGAUUUAGUAUAAACAAACCCUGAGUAGCAUUGAACAGUUGGCCAAACCUCAUGGUGGGUGUUUGCAUCACAUGGAGGUACUGAGAGAGUUAUUCCUUUGAUGUGCAAAGCACUCACAGAAAGUCCUGAUUCUCUGAACACAGUAGGAGUGAAGCCCCAAGACAGCUUCUUGGCUCAGAGCUGCAAGUGUUUUUGCAGGGACCAGGUUGGCAGUACAGUCCCUCAGUGUGAGCUGCUGGGAUCAGCAUGGUGUCAUGAAGGAAAACUGUUCAGUUUGCUGCAUCUGUAAAACUGCUUUAUUCCUGGAUUCCUCCUCGGACCUGGCACUUAGCUGUGCACACACAGACAUCAGAGGUUUGGAAUGAGAUCAUCUUUAAGGUUCCUCCCAGCCCAAACCUUUCUGUGAUCUGGUGGUGAUGGUGAAACGAAGGAUGUGUCUUCAGUGAUGGACAUGGAAAAGACACCACCCAGACAACUCAUCCUGCCAACAUUACCAGCCCCUCUGAGCUCCUGCUGGAACAUGGAAACGCUCCCAAGUUUUUAAUUAAACACUGCCACAGCUACAAAAAAAGAAUGUACAUCUUUUUAUAGCAACAUGAGAGCACCCAAGAGUAAGCUACCUGACCUCGGCCUUCCUGGUCCCUUCACGUUGCAAGACACCACUCUGUUUAAUUAAUUAUUUUGUUUAUUCGUUGUCUGCAAGGGUAAAUGAUGGAAGACUGGCGAGGCACUGAAAAAAUAAACAUCUUGACACGA